rnacentral:rRNA from 1 species
CCGGACCGGCCGGCACCGGGGUGAGUAACGGCGUAUGCAACUUACCUAUCAGGACGGGGGAUAACCCCGGCGAAAGUCGGGACUAAUACCGCAUGAAGCAGGGGCCCCGCAUGGGGGAUAUUUGCUAAAGAUUCAUCGCUGAUAGGAUAGGCAUGCGUUCCAUUAGGCAGUUGGCGGGGUAACGGCCCACCAAACCGACGAUGGAUAGGGGUUCUGAGAGGAAGGUCCCCCACAUUGGUACUGAGACACGGACCAAACUCCUACGGGAGGCAGCAG